AGGAAGGAGAAGUCGUAACAAGGUUUCCGUAGGUGAACCUGCGGAAGGAUCAUUGUCGAAACCUGCAAAGCAGAAUGACCAGUGAAUCGGUUGCACUACCACACGACUGGAGUUAUGGAGCCUUAAAAUCCUACACUUGCAUUCGUGUAAUUGAAGGGAGGAGAGGCUUCUGUAGCUUCUGUUACAACAACAAAACUCGGCGCAUCUUGUGCCAAGGAAAUGACAAUGGAUUAGAUGUGCAUCCUUACGGCUAGCUAGCUAGCUUGUUGGAUGUUAUCAGUAAUCUCUAUUCUUGAACGACUCUCGGCAACGGAUAUCUCGGCUCUCGCAUCGAUGAAGAACGUAGCGAAAUGCGAUACUUGGUGUGAAUUGCAGAAUCCCGUGAACCAUCGAGUCUUUGAACGCAAGUUGCGCCUGAGGCCAUCAGGUCGAGGGCACGCCUGCCUGGGCGUCCUGCAUUGCGCCACUCCCAACCCAAGGGGAGGGAGUGAAAUUGGCCUCCCGUGACUCGUGUGCGGACGGCUGAAAAAGUUGCCCGUUGGUGGCAUGCACUACGCGAUCAGUGGUGGUUGACAAAACCCAUUCACCGAAAUAGGAUGACUUGAUCGAGUAGUUGCCAUCGAGGGUAAAUUGAACCCUUGUAGCUCMUAUACCAUGCGACCCCAGGUCAGGCGGGGAC
rnacentral:rRNA from 1 species